UGGGGAAUUUUGGACAAUGGGCAAAAGCCUGAUCCAGCCAUGCCGCGUGUGUGAAGAAGGUCUUCGGAUUGUAAAGCACUUUAAGUUGGGAGGAAGGGCAGUAAGCGAAUACCUUGCUGUUUUGACGUUACCGACAGAAUAAGCACCGGCUAACUCUGUGCCAGCAGCCGCGGUAAUACAGAGGGUGCAAGCGUUAAUCGGAAUUACUGGGCGUAAAGCGCGCGUAGGUGGUUCGUUAAGUUGAAUGUGAAAGCCCCGGGCUCAACCUGGGAACUGCAUCCAAAACUGGCGAGCUAGAGUAGGGCAGAGGGUGGUGGAAUUUCCUGUGUAGCGGUGAAAAGCGUAGAUAUAGGAAGGAACACCAGUGGCGAAGGCGACCACCUGGGCUCAUACUGACACUGAGGUGCGAAAGCGUGGGGAGCAAACAGG
rnacentral:rRNA from 1 species